AAAAAAAAAAAACAAAACAAAGAACUCCUGGUGAAAUUCAUCACUCAUUUUCACCAACACACAGAUUGUAUUAGUUGAUCUCCUUCACACCUCGUGAUACUUAUGCCAAUCGUUUAUCGAAGUUUUUAUGCCUCUCGUUUAUCGAAGUUCUGAUUCGCAUAAUUUCACCUCAACGAGAACCACUCAAUCACAUCCCAUGCAACGCGCCGUCGCGUGACCUCCACGCGCUCAUCGGAAACGACCGAUAACGACGACCGGCAAAUCGGACAGUUAAAAUUAAACGUAUCUAACCAUCCAUCAAAACACGCCUUAUGAAAAACAUGCUUACAAUCCAAUUUCCUCACAUUUUCACCAUCAAUUAAUCGAUUCAAGCAAAAAACGCAGCUCGAACCAGCAGAUUGAUCGUCAAAUGCAUACGAGAACAUCCGAUUCAAAUUAAGCUGUUCAGCCAGCAUAACGACUCCGGCUAAACCUGAACCAACCGCAUCGUAAAUCGCAUUUUCUUCGAUUUGAAUCGGAUUUACUGAAACGCCGAUGAACUGAAGAAAAGUGAAGAUGAUCGAACGGAGAUUAGCGAUGCAAUUAGCGAGAAGAGUUACGAGCAAAAUAGGAAUGGAUUCAGUAGAAACAUCACUUAAUUGAUUUUGUAAUCCCAUUUUUUU
rnacentral:misc_RNA from 1 species